CUUAAAUCUGAAAAAUAUUCUUUGAAAGAUAUAUACCAUAAAUACUGUAGUGGAGCUGCAAUAUUAAAUCCCACGAUCUCCGCUGGUACAGAAGGUAAUCCACAGUCAAGCGCUGAAAAGUAAGGCAAUAUCCCAAAUCCCCCAGUAACCGGACGAAACACAGUUCUGGGAGUCAACUGAGGUUUUUAUUCACAGCUCCAGUAUUUAUGCAAGUCCCCAUGCAAGGGGUUUCACUACUGACAAAGCAGGGGUAAUACAGUAGGGAACUACAUGGGGGACUUAACAUUCUGAGCAUUUCUCCCAUCAGGCACUCAGG